UACGAAGGUCCCAAGCGUUAUCCGGAUUUAUUGGGUUUAAAGGGUGCGUAGGCGGCCUUUUAAGUCAGUGCUGAAAUACUCUAGCUUAACUAGAGGGGUGGCAUUGAUACUGAAAGGCUUGAGUGAAGUCGAAGUAGGCGGAAUUGACGGUGUAGCGGUGAAAUGCUUAGAUAUCGUCAAGAACACCGAUAGUGAAGACAGCUUACUAGACUUCAACUGACGCUGAGGCACGAAAGUGUGGGGAUCAAACAGG
rnacentral:rRNA from 1 species